GAGCAAUUAGCUCAAGUGGUAGAGCGCUCGCUUUGCAUGUGAGAGGCAGCUGGAUCGAUACCCGCAUUCUCCA
rfam:Xiphophorus maculatus strain JP 163 A Contig9467.1, whole genome shotgun sequence.